GAUGAACGCUGGCGGCGUGCCUAAUACAUGCAAGUCGAGCGAACAGACGAGGAGCUUGCUCCUCUGACGUUAGCGGCGGACGGGUGAGUAACACGUGGAUAACCUACCUAUAAGACUGGGAUAACUUCGGGAAACCGGAGCUAAUACCGGAUAAUAUAUUGAACCGCAUGGUUCAAUAGUGAAAGACGGUUUUGCUGGCACUUAUAGAUGGAUCCGCGCCGCAUUAGGUAGUUGGUAAGGUAACGGCUUACUAAGGCAACGAUGCGUAGCCGACCUGAGAGGCUGAUCGGCCACACUGGAACGUAGACACGGUCCAGACUCCUACGGGAGGCAGCAGUAGGGAAUCUUCCGCAAUGGGCGAAAGCCUGACGGAGCAACGCCGCGUGAGUGAUGAAGGUCUUCGGAUCGUAAAACUCUGUUAUUAGGGAAGAACAAAUGUGUAAGUAACUAUGCACGUCUUGACGGUAACUAAUCAGAAAGCCACGGCUAACUACGUG
rnacentral:rRNA from 1 species